rnacentral:lncRNA from 1 species
CCCAAACCGAGUAGGGGUGGUCUGAGAGCUGCUCCAUGGCCUGGGGGGCAAAGGGACCAAAACAGCACAAAAUCGACCCAAAACCAACCCAAAAACCAGCCCAAACCUGACCCAAAAACCAACAGCCCAAAAAGUGACCCAAAACCGCACAAAAAUGACCCAAAACAGACCCAAAAACCACACCCAAAACUGACCCGACACCACCCAAAAACCAGUCUAAAAACUGACCCAAAACAGCACAAAACCAGCCCAAAAAUCAACCCAAAACUGACCCAAAGAACGGCCCAAAAACUGACCCAAAACCGCACCAAAACCAGCCCAAAACUGACCCAAAAUCACCCAAAAACUGUCCCAAAACGGAGCCAAAAACUGCACCAAAAAACAGCCCAAAAACCAACACAAACCGACCCAAAACUGACCCAAAGUGGCCCAAAACCGAGCCAAAAACUGACCCAAAACCCACAUCAAAAACGGCCCAAAACUGACCCCAAACCAGCCCGAAACCAACCCAAAAAACACCCCAAAAUCAACCCAAAGCUGACGACCCAAAAAACACCCAAAACUGACCCAAAAAACACCCCAAAACCACCCCCAAACUGGGAUUUCUACCCCAAUCCCGUUGUUUCCCCCAAUCCCAUUUUUUCCCCAAAUCCUGUUUUUCCCCCCAACCCCAUUUUCCCCCCAAUUUUUUUCCCCAAAUCCCAUUUUUUCCCCAAUCCAAUUUUUACUCCCAAAUCCCAUUAUUCCCCCGAAAUCCUGGUGUUUUUCCCAAAAUCCCGUUUAUUCCCCCCAAAUCCCAUUUUUCCCCAAAUCCCAUUUUCCCCCCAAUCCCAUUUUCCCCCCAAAAUCCCGGUGUUUUUCCCCAAAUCCCGGUGUUUUUUACCCAAAAUCCCGGUGGUUUUUCCCCCCAAUCCUGGUGUUUUUCCCCCCAAAAUCCCAUUUUUUACCCAAAAUCCCGGUGUUUUUUCCCCAAAUCCCGUUUAUUUUCCCCCAAAAUCCCAUUUAUUUCCCCCAAAAUCCCGUUUAUUUCCUCCCCAAAAUCCCAUUUCCCCCCCCAAACUUACCAUUUCUCCCCAAACCCACUUUCCUUACUGUUUC